UUUCUAUGUUAGCGUGUCACUGUAUGUGUGUGUGUGUUACCAGCAGGCCGGCGGGAUGGCUGAAGGCCCGGCCAUGAGGAGCAGCAGGAUGACAUCAGAGGACAAACUGUGCUCAUAACAAUGUUCGUUUCCACGUAACCCGGACGGCCACUUUGGCCCGGUCUCCACGGUGUCAACCCUUCACCUCCUAUCAGUCGGUUGGAGGUGGGGUGUAGGUGCUGAGAGACACCUAAUCCUCGAGUACAGACACAGGCCUGGCUGGAGUGUCGCCAAGGACAAAGUGACCCAAAUGACGAACGUUGGCUGCCUCUGAGUCUGCUCGCCAUCCAAUCAGCCUGUCUCUGAUUAUUGAGCGGUGGGCGUCUCCAUCUUUUGUCCAUGGUGGUUGGAAAUGCAGAUCCUUGAUGAGGCAAAGCAUGAGAUGUUGAGGUCAUCAGGAAGACUCAUCCAAGACCACCUCAGCUCCGCUGCUCCAGAGCUACACGUCACGGAAAGAAGACCCAUCACGGCGUUUCACCUGCUGUUUCCCAGCAUUCCCCGCUUAGCUGCUGUAAUCCUGGGGGCCAUGGACAAUAUAAACACACACAGUGGAUUACACUCCGUGUGUGUCUGCGUGUGUGCGUGUGUGUGUGGGGGGGAUAAAAGAGAUGAAACAGAGGUGCAGUGUAAUCCAUUUGCAAGACGACUGUGUGUGUGUCUGUGUGUCCAUGAAGGGCCCUCUCACCAGGUAGGCCCAUUCAUCACUGAUGACGGUCUGUGUGCACGGGGCUUACUGUAGAUCCCCAGCUCACACACACACACACACACACACACACACAUAUAACUGUACACGAUGGGGCCACCCAAACUUUCUUUGCGCUCCUUUUACUUCUUACAGCAUUUUUCUUUUUUCUUUUUCGUGGUUUCACAGACGAUCUCUAUUCAACAGAGAUCGAAUGCCGAAAAUAGUGGAACAUUUAAAUGCUCCUACACGCACACACACACACACACACACACGCACGGCCCACCCAAGGACAAAUGUUAGCAGAUUAAUGAAACAUGCAAAUAUCCAGCGGGCUCAUCCAGCUCCGUCCCCCCUGCUGCGUCUCAUUCACAUGCAUCAGGACCAUUAAUAUGAACGUCAAAGGGGCCUGUACUGUAUGCACCAUUUGAAUGUUAAUCCUCGAGAAAAGAACCGUUGUUUUGCUGUUGCAAUAGAUCGGGUUUAGGGGUCGGAGGGGUUGUGGGGGUGUUUUGGUGAAGAAACCUUGAAGCAGUUUGAACAUGUUAAUGAACUUGAGGGGUUUAGCACCGGACCUGGACAAUAAAGUCCCCCUGAGCAUGAAAUGGUAGGAUGGGUUUCCUGCUGGUCUCCAUUCUCCGUCAUCCCUGGACCUCCUUAAGAUGUCCUGACCCAGGGAGAGGAGGGUGUGGGGGGGGAGGUAAAAAGGGGGGUCUGGAUGCAGUGUCCAGUCCUUCUCUUCGACCCGGUCCGACUCAACAACAACAGCUGAAAUGGCUUGCAGAUGUGGCUCGGCUAAUAAAUUCUUUGUGAACUCAGCAGACAUUGGGAGGUUUGGGAGUUUUCAAAGGGGGGUUGUGGAGCAGGCUGGACCUCAGGAGGGCUGUUUGCGUGUGUGAGUUUGGAUGUGUUUGUAAAAAAAUGUGCACGUGUGUGUGUAUGUGUAGUGCGCUUGCAUCCAUGAUCUCGUCCGUGAACCAUUCAGGGUUUUAUGUGCACACGUGCAUUUAUGUGUGUGUGUUUGUCCACUCCAGGUCUCAGUAAAACAUCAGGCCCAGUGUAUAAAUGUCUUUAGCUGCUGCUCACAUUGAUUUAUAGAAAUCUAUCAAGUCGGCCUGUAGAGACAAAGUGGGGAACACAAACCCCCGGUCUGCUGGCUGCUGAUACGACCCAGGAUAUAUUUAGGUGCACUUAAUAUGUAACUUUUUAAAAGACGAAAAAACAUAUUCUUCGUCUUACAGAUUCCUUUGCAAUAAAACACACCGUUGCUCAAUAUGAUACACUCUGGGGCCUUUGGUGCUAUAGAGCCUUACCUGGUCUGGGGUCAGGGUUAGCUGCGCAAGUUUGUUAUUUCAUUCCUAAAUACCUAAUGGUAACGUCUUUAAAGCAAGAUUCAAAAUAAUCCUUUUGGUUUGGUUUGUUUGUCUGUUUGUCAGCAGGAUUACCGAAACACUACUGGCCCUAUUUUCAUGAAACUUGGUGGAAGGAUGAAGCAUCAAAAUUGAUUGAAGAAAUGUAGAUGUAAUCAUUAUUUAUUUCCGAAUGUGAUGAGAUAUUCGCUGAAUUUGACAAAAAUAUAAGUUUAUAUUGUUUGUGUUUUCAUCUUUUUUCCGACAACUUUAACCCUUUCACAGUGUGUUAAUUGUAACAUUUUAUAGCCUAAAAAUGUCUUAUUCAGUGUUUGGUUGUAUGUAGCUCCACCCUCUCAGAGUUUGAAAUACAUCAGAUUUGAAACCAGCAUUCAUUCAGGGGCUUUAAAUACAGCAGCAAUCUUGAAAAGUAGGAAAGCAAUAAUUAGGAAUAAUUCGCUUUAAAGUAAAAAAACAAAUGAAAGUCUUUGACAAUGAAACAAAAAAAUCCUGAACUCUGUGUCGCUGUUUAAUUUUCCAAGGAUAUCCCUUGAUCCUGCACAACUUAUAUAUUUUCCAAACCAAGUGUUCCCCACUUUAAUGAAUGAUAUUUGAUUAUAUGUUAUAUAAUAUAAUGAUAUGUACACUGCUGCAAGCUAUCUGGGUCACGUCUUUUUUCUUCUUUUUUACUGUACAAAAGCCACUUUCCCACUAGGGAUUUAGACUGUCAGCACUCAGAUUACACUGCUGGUUCACUUUUAACAUGAACUACACACACACUUCACAAAUCAUACACCUUAAGUUGAGUGCUGCACUGACAGCCUACAAACCCGCUGUUCAAACAGGCUUAAUGCACUCACACAGGCCUCUCUGCUCUCUCUGAAGCCUCUGGAUGGAGGGAAUGCUGUUUUUCUCCGAACAAAACCCAAAAUGCCAAAACCGUAUGCAUGUGCCAAGACGCUGGUAUGCCUGGUUUUACUCAACAAACUCCCCCCGUUACUCACACACUCUCUCACACACACACUCUCCUCAAAAGAGAUGUAAUCAGCAGCCCGGGCUUUCAUGCAUUACCUCCCCCUCUUCCAAUAACACAUACACACACAUGGAGCUGCUAUCUGUUUCUUUCCCUUAUUUCACUCUCUCGCUCCCUUUUGUUACAACUUAUGUAAAGACUGUUGGUGUGUGUGUGUGUGUGUGUGUGUGUGUGUGUGUGUGUGUGUGUGUUCAGGGGAGAGAGAAAAGCCUUGGUGACAUUAAACACGGUUGACGGGGAGUGGGCAGAAUAAACAAGGUCCUGAGUAGAAAGGCUGCCCUUCAAACACUCCGUACUCGGUGCAUAGGCCCAGGAUCAACUGUGUUUAUCAAAAUCCUGGGGCUACAGAGGGAGAGAGACAAAGAAUGAGAGAGAGGGAGAGGGAGUGGGUUGCUCGGGCUCAGAGUACUGAGGAAAGACUAAAUUGAAGGUUGAAGUGAAACGUUGAGGGCCCUGACGCACCGAACCGGCCGUCGUUGGGACAUUGGUGGUUACCAUUUUGUGGCUGACCAUCGCCUGUUGUUUUUUAAAGAGUCUUUCUGGAUAAUAAAGUGAAACUUGAACUUGCUUUGUUCAUCACUUUUGGCACUAAAGUUGGCUGAUUCAGCAUAUUUGGAGUGGGAGGUUGUCGAUGAGACAGAGCUGUCUGACUGUUUCAGUAGUGAAUCAGUGUAUUCACUCAUUUUUGCAGCCUUGAUUUACCAGACAUAUUCUCGUAAAAUGUAUUUAGAUCCUUUAAUUAAAGGGCAGGCCCAUUAUUUCUUUUUAGUAUUUUUUAGGUUUUUAUAUCAUUCUGUAGUUUCCCACCGCUGUUCUUAUGUAUUCAGAUCCCAACAUUCAAAUUUUUAGUCGAAGUACGUAUGUUUUAGCAUCAAAAUGUUAUUUUCCCAAGCCUUUCUAAAAACGUUUGUGAUGUCAUGUGACCUGACGUAGGUUUCUGCAUGAUGACGCUGCUGCAUGUAUGGUAUAUAUACAUCCUUAUAGUCAGUGUAUUAACGUUAUAUAGAGUAACUUAGAUGGCGGUUGGCAUGCUCCCAGUUCGGAGAAGCAGACGGGAGUACCGGCACGGAAACUAGUUACUUUCCACCGCUGCAUAUUCCGAGAUUGUUGUCAAAGUCAUUUGGUUUGUCUUUCUGCACUGUUUUGGAUAAUAACUAGAAUAAUUUAAGUGCAUGUUGUCCGUCAGCAGUGUGUUUUUAAAGAAGAGGUAAGGCCUCUGAUGGUACUUCUUCUUUAAGGUCAGCUUGGUGUGUCGGAGCUCUGAAGGACUGACGUGAGAGUGAGAAGAACAGACACAUCUGAUAGAGGCCCUCUCUGAUUUAAAUCUGAAAAAUUGCACAGCGCUUUAAGAUUUGUGUCUAAGACAAAGACGAUGCAGGAGGAGUGCCGUUAUGAAACAGGUUGAGGGUGAUUAUUUCUAUCUAUCUAUUUACAGCCUGUCUUUAUGCAGCCUUUUGUCUUGUAAGCCUGUGUGUCAGGUUGGCUCUGAGGUUUAUUCGUACUUGCCUCCACAUGUUCCUCUGGGCCCUGUAGCGCAUGUAAUCUGGGUGGAUGUGGGUGUCCAUCUAUAUAUGAGAUAAACUGUGUGUCUGUGUGUACACAUUUAACUCUGAUCUCAUCUCCCAAUCACAGAGCGUCUUCUCAGCGGGACAGGAAAUUGUGUUGGAGUUCAGAGUUUAUUACACGAGCCACAGUUCAAAGACGGAGACUAGAGAAGAAUGAGACAGAUCUGUACAUUUAUGAGAGUGGAAUCCAUUUCUCAGCGUAUAUCACUGCUGCUCUAAGUACUCUAAUGCAGACUCAUAAAGCAUAAAUCAGCCUCGGGAUUGGGAGAGAUCGCCUGAGAGGUUCAACCGACCUGUUCAAUAUAUCGACUAACCCCCACAGGUGGAAAAAUGCAGAGUAAAACCACUCUGGAGAUGCUGUUGGAUUUUCACCUGUCACUUGGAUUUAGUUCAAAUUUGCACUAAUAGUGUCCUGAUAUCUGCCCUAUGCCUCAAAGCAAUAUGAUUAUCAAAACGUGCAUUUAUUAUAAAUCUAAAGGCUUUUAAAUACAAAGUUGUCAUCAUUUCACACAGAAACUAAAACUCUUAAGGGUACUUAAGAUAAAAUAUGAUGGUAUGUUGGCUCAGUUCAGGCCAUCACAUUGAUUAAGAAACUUUGUACAAAAACAUAAAGGUGAUGCAUUAAAGCAAAAUGUAAAGUGUAAUUCAUACAGUGCAAUAUUUUCAGGGUGGAAUUUCAUUUCAUUCUCACUGUGCAAUAUCAUUUUUCCACUUGCAAUUUUGUUAAUAGUCUGUCUAUUGUCGAUAGUUUCAUUAAGUUUCUACGGUCGUACCGGAGGCCUCGUUGGACACCGGUGACCGAGAGAAGUGAGUUUAAAGCGAGUUUCUAGACUGUUAGAGAUACUCUAAAAUAGUAAUUAAAGUAAUUUAACGACAUCUCAGACGGUAGUGGGUUUGAUCUGUCACCCAUCUGUACCGCUGUGGGUCUUAGAGGCCUUUUUAACAGCAGACAUUUUGUUUGUGGUAGUGGGAAGAAUACUCACAGGUGUUACUAAUUACACUAAUGAUGGCUCUGUUGCAUUCAAGUGUCCCAGUAAGUGUCAGUAAAUCAGCAUGACCGUUAACCUGGAUCCUGAAAUCACAAAGUACUUAAAUCAUCAUUAUUUUUCAUUAUUUACACCUGUGCUUUUACUACUGUGCAUCAAAAUAUCUUCAUGGAAAAGGUAUAUUGCUUCAGUCUAUUCAGUUAACCUAUUGAGUAUAGUAUGUUGAAAAAUUAAAAAAAAGUCAUAGUAUAGUAUGUCGAAAAAUUAA